AGCGGAGGAAAAGAAACCAACAGGGAUUGCCUUAGUAGCGGCGAGUGAAGCGGCAAAAGCUCAAAUUUGAAAUCUGGCACUUUCAGUGUCCGAGUUGUAAUUUGAAGAAGGUAUCUUUGGGUCUGGCUCUUGUCUAUGUUUCUUGGAACAGAACGUCACAGAGGGUGAGAAUCCCGUGCGAUGAGAUGACCCAGACCUAUGUAAAGUUCCUUCGAAGAGUCGAGUUGUUUGGGAAUGCAGCUCUAAGUGGGUGGUAAAUUCCAUCUAAAGCUAAAUAUUGGCGAGAGACCGAUAGCGAACAAGUACAGUGAUGGAAAGAUGAAAAGAACUUUGAAAAGAGAGUGAAAAAGUACGUGAAAUUGUUGAAAGGGAAGGGCUUGAGAUCAGACUUGGUAUUUUGUAUGUUACUCUCUCGGGGGUGGCCUCUACAGUUUACCGGGCCAGCAUCAGUUUGGGCGGUAGGACAAUUGCAAAGAAAUGUGGCACUGCCUCGGUAGUGUGUUAUAGUCUUUGUCGAUACUGCCAGCCUAGA
rnacentral:rRNA from 1 species